CCCGCCGGGAGAGAGGGAGGGAAGAAGGCCGGGCUCUGCUUCAUUCUGCCUGGCUGCCGCGGCAUGAACAGCCCGGCGGCUGGCAGCGGUGAUCGGCCCCGCGGGGGCUGCCUGCGGGCCUACCCGGCGCUGCCGGUGUGGGUGGUGGAGGACCACCAGGACGUGCUGCCUUUCAUCUAUCGUGCCAUUGGUUCAAAGCACCUUCCUGCCAGUAACAUCAGCUUUGUUCAUCUUGAUUCCCAUCCAGACCUUCUUAUUCCUGUGAAUAUGCCUGCCGACACUGUAUUUGACAAAGAAGCUCUUUUUAGUGAAUUAAGUAUUGAGAACUGGAUUAUGCCUGCUGUUUAUGCUGGCCAUAUUUCUCAAGUAGUGUGGCUUCACCCACCCUGGGCUCAGCAGAUCUCGGAAGGAAAACACCACUUUUUAGUUGGGAAAGACCUAUCAACAACUACAAUCAGGGUUACAGGUACAGAUCAUUACUUUUUAAGUGAUGGUCUUUAUGUCCCUGCUGAUCAGCUGGAAAACCAGAAGCCUUUAAAUUUACACGUCAUUCUCAUUAACCCUACUGAAGCAUCAAACAGCCAGGAAGAAAAUGGCGAAGUAGCAUCUGCUAAGAGACCGAAGCUAAACACAGAUGACACAGCCAGCACUGCUUCUGCCUCUUCAUCAGUGGCUCCUGGUGACCUUGAUCACAGCACCCCAAGUCUGAAGAAGAAGGAAGUACAAAAUGCAAGGGCCCCAAACAAGGCAGAAAUGUUUUCAGAGUGCUCAGCUUCAAGCUCUUUCAGUGAAUGCCCAAUAAGGGAAGUUGUUAAAGAUGUCUGCCAAGUGCUGCAGAAAGGGGAUGCCUAUGUUUUAGACAUUGACUUAGAUUUUUUUUCAGUUAAAAAUCCGUUCAAAGAAAUGUACACACAGACAGAGUAUGAGCUUUUGCAAGAGUUGUACAAUUUCAAGAAGCCUCAUAAAAAUGCAACAGAGGAGGGUUUGCUGGAUUGUGUUGAAAACCGUGUUCAUCAGCUAGAAGAUCUGGAAGCAGCAUUUGCAGAUUUGUGUGACAGUGAUGAUGAAGAGACCCUACAGAAGUGGGCUUCGUGUCCUGGAAUGAAGCCACUUGUUCAACUAGUUCACAGUUUGAAAACCAGGAUGGAAAGCCCAGACUACGAAAUGGUCCAUCAGGCUGGUCUGACCUGUGAUUAUGUGGAGCUUCCCCACCAUGUUAGCACUGAAGAGGAAAUCGAAGGCCUCAUACAAUCCAUUAAAGUGUUACUAAAAGAUAUGCCUAAGCCCACACUUGUGACAGUUGCUCGGUUGACACUUGAAGAACGCGUAUAGGUGAGAAGUUCUUCCGACUCACUUUACUAUGAACAUCUUAAUGCAAACCCUUCACCAGUCAGGACCUUUGUCUGAACAAAUGCACUCAGAGCACCUAAACAGAUAACCACCUUCUUGUGACUCUCCAGUUCCUGUAUCCCCACGACCUGCAAUUGUUUCCUGAACUGAGGAAUCCUUCCUGACCGUGGAGAUACUUGUUAUGGUCACUAGGUGGAGCAACAAAUGCAUCAUUUGAAAGCUACUUGAAGGACUGGAAGUAAAGUGGAAGAAACCUUGAACCUUUGCAAGUUCAUUCCCUUCCUAAACUGUGAUCAAGAAAAAACAAUGGGAUAAUUCCCUCCUGGGUAUUCAAGAAUUUUCUAUUAUAUUGAAAGCUCAGCACUACUUUUUACCAUUUAUUAGCUGAUGCAUCUCUAAAAAAGCUUGCAAAGAAUAAAAUUAUUUUUGUUACCUCACAAACCAGGGGAUCCCUGAAGCAGUAUCUGGGCAGAGGCGCACAAGCGGGGACUCAGAGGAUCACCAACUCUACUGUUUUGCUGAUAGAUCUCUAAAAAUUCCCUUAACUCUUUCGGGGAGUAAGUACGUGUGACCUGCACUGCCCCAUCCACUUGUUCCUGUUGCCCCCUGAUUUGUAUGAGGGGUUGUGCUUCCACCACCUCCCUGCCUUCUAAAUCUGACUUAAACUUAACCUUCGAGUUUGAGGAUUCACUCCAGAUAUUUCCAUCCCGUUCCUUGGGAUCCCACAAAGGUUUUGUGGUGAGAGCAUGAACUUGGGAAAUAAAAACCUUACUUUUUCCAUACCUGUCCUUUCAUUUAUUAGCAAUACAUGCUACCAACUGCUCUACAGUACCUUGCAGCCCAUGGCUUGAGUAGUAAUUACUUCUUAAGCAAUUGCUUUUGCAUCUUACAGUCACGACUUCCUUUUCCAGCUCUCUCAUUUUAUGCCGUAAUGCUACAACUUCAUGAUCAAGAGCUCUAAGACCAGUAACUAAAAACCAUCCCAAUCUCCUCGUUAACUUGCAAGAGGACUCCAUUCCCCUUUCCAUGGCAGUCCCCUCAUAGCCGUUUCAAUUGCCUGGGGAGUAACAACUGACCCAUCAUCUAUUUCAGGCCAAGCUUCCAGCAGUGCCAGUGUAGCCAGGAAAGUGGUCCCAGUCCUCAACUUUUUGGCUGGCCAUGGCAUGGCUGUUCCUGGAUCCUGGCGAUUACACCAAAUGUG